AGAAUACACCAUUCAACAUUCGAAUCCAAAAUCUCUUGUUGCUAAGCAAAAAGGUAUGAUCAUUGGAAUAAGCCCUAAUUCAUGAUCAUAGUAGUGUUGAUAUUCAAUGUACCCUUUAAAGGAGUAUGUCACAACUUAGAUGACUAUUAGGGAGGGAUACGUUCCAAGCUUGUUGGCUUGCAUAACUUCAAUAAUAAUGCCCCA
rnacentral:lncRNA from 1 species